rnacentral:lncRNA from 1 species
CCCGAGUGUGCGCCGCGGACGGCUGCUGCUCGGCAGCCCGAGGGGAUCCGCCGGCUGAGCCGGCCCCGUCCAGCGGCAGCGUGGAAUGUGCGAGGGGGCCCGUUAAGUUUGUGUUAAAGAUUCGCAAGGGAUGUCUUAAUUAGGGGCAGCUGUUAGCGGGAACAUGGCGCUAAUUACCAUCACAGCCUCUGGAUGAAGGCUGAGAAGCUGCUGCUGUGAGACCCCAACAGCUCUUCCUGACGGCUCCGAGGGGCGAACACGAGUGUGAGCUCCUGCCUGCCACUGCGCCUGAGGCACCUGCUCUUGGUCUUCAGAGACCCCAGCGCGAGCACCGUGGGAGGAACUGAGCUGAAUAAAAGACCGUGCGCUCAGUGCCAGUGUCUAAUGGCCCCGAAGUGAAGAGCCGAGCGCUGCUCCGGCGGCAGCGCGGCCGGCCUGCCACAGAUGAACCCUCCUAACUAGCGCCGAGGGGUCGGGAGGGACGGCGAGGAGGGGAGAGCCCGAGGGGCCAGCCGGGAAGACGAGGAUAGCGGUGGAUAGCGGUGUGCGGAAGAGGACGGACCCGCGAGCAGCU